GCAAAACUUCAGAUCUGAAAGAACAAAGUAAAUAUAUGGCUGUGGUGAACUCAUGAUCAGGAGUAAUGACUUGAAAUUUACUCACACUGCUGAAUAUCAGUGGAACUUUGUACUACACUCUACAGAACCUCCUGGUAGCAAAGUGUCAGCUGUGUUCUGCGUAUACCUCAGCACCCAACAAACCAGAGCCUUCUUCAUCAUUCUUUGCCACAAUCUAUUUUUACAAGUAUUUUUUAUCCUCCCUGCCCAGAAGAAGGAGGGUCUAAAAUUAGACUCCAAAAUUGCUAGGUGGUCAUCUCUGUGGAUGCUGAAGAGCAAUAAUUUGUUGAUUAUGUGUAUGCUAUCUGACACGAAGUGCAGAGUGCCUCAGGCUGCAGCUUCACCAAACGAAAAUGUGCCAAACAUCAAGAAAAAAGACUACCUGUUAAGGAAGUUUCUGCAAAACAAUUUUAUUUAUGAGCUCUAAUUCUUGUGUCCUCCGUUAUGUUUCAAGAAGAUGUAAUUAUUUUGGUAAUGCAUGUUUAUUUAAGAUCAGGAAGUCCUGAUCUCAAAUCUAUCCUGGAUAUGGUUUAUUAUGGCCACUGGUGAAGGAAUUAAAUGAAUACCACAAUGCAGAUUAGGAUAAUACAGUAGUACCAGUUCAGACGUUGCAUUAAAUUCUACUGGAAAAUUGCUCCGGCGCUCUUUAUAUAUUUUUUUAAGAAAUGCAGACCAAUAGCCCGUAUCUCAAGGAAAAUAUUUUAUUGUAUAUAAUCACGCCUUGCAUAAGGAGCUGCUGUUUCUCUGCAUAGAAAAUGAGCUUCUUGAUUAUUUCUUGAUUCUUCAUCCCAAAGACACCUUUGGGAUAUAACUACUUGAGCUGUGCUAUUUUAUUUAGUAGUUUAAAGACCAGCCUUUGUUUCUGGGAGAUGAUAAAUGAAAUCAAACCAAACCAACAAAUCAGACUUAACUAUAUUUACAUUGUUAGAGUUUUAGGCAUUUCCUG
rnacentral:lncRNA from 1 species